AUCUAUCAUUGGAAAGAACGAGAUAGAUGUUUAUUUAGAUGAACCAACAAUAGAUGAUGAUGAAGACAGUGAAGAUUUUGAUGUGCUCAAAUAUUGGAAGACUAAUGAGAAAAAGUUUGCCAUAUUGUCUAUAAUGGCUCGAGAUGUGUUUAGUAUUCCUAUUACUACAGUGGCAUCAAAGUCAGCUUUUAGUAAAGGUGGACGUGUACUUUCGAAAUAUAGAAGCUCCAUUCUUCCUGAGCAUGUGCAAAUGUUGAUUUGUACUCAAAAUUGGCUAUAUGGAUUUUCUGAAAAUCCUAGUGAUGAAAUUGUUGAAGAUAUUUUUGAUCAUGAGGGAAUUGAUGAGUCUAAACUUUUAGAAGAUGUUGAAAGUCUUCAACAUUGUGGGGAGUGAAAGUGAUCACAGGCUUUUCAUAACAAAGGGCCCGGAGUUACUGAAGAUUGGAACUUGUUUGGAAAGAAAUAUGCAAGGUUUAUAUUUUUUUUUUUGUUUAAUUGCAAUUUGAUGUUUAUGAUAUCAUUAGACCAUUGAUAAUCUACUUGUGAGCUGAAUAUUUUUUUCUAGU